GCACAAACUGUAUAGAGAUAACAAAACUUCUAGCAUUAAAUUCCAAAUUUCUAAAUACUAUACUUUAUUUUCAUAACAAAUGAAAUUGGAAUACCUAACAAUUUAUUGUUACUACUGAAAACUUUAGUAUAAUUAUAUUCACAUCUAUGUAAGUGUUGCACAUUAUAUGUCUUACAGCAUUUAUCUGUUCAAAAGAGAACCAAAUGAUGUUAGUUUAUUUUAAAUCAUGUAUGAGGCUGAGUAAAAAAGUUUACUCAAAAGGAAACACAGAUAAUGCCUGAUAAGUACAUGAAGAAAACAUAAAUGCUAAAAACGACAAUAACUCUGCAUUAAUUAAUACAUUUCAUUAUCUUAUUAUCAAAUACUUAACCAUUCUUUUCUACAUAUACAGGUAGGUUAUGUUGGCUUACAAGAUAGCAUCAAAAAUGCUGCCUAUAAUCAUGAGUUGAUGAUGGUACAGGCAUCAUUACUUGCUUCCAAAACAAACGGAAGAAUAAUUCUAGAAGUGCUGUUUUUUCACACCAGGAGGCUAAAUUGAAGUCACUAGAAUUAGUGUUUCAAGUUGAUAUUAGAGGUGGUAUACAUGAGUUUUUGAAAAACCUUGAAGAAAAGAAAAGAUCAUCCAUCAGUCCUUUCUCACUAGGAGAUGUAAUCCAUGUCCUGGGCUCCCUAAAGACAUGGUCAAGACAGUUAUAUAUUGAUAUUUAUCACUUGUACAAUGUCACUGAUCCUAAUGCAGAGGUUCUUAGAAAUCUUGAGCUAUUAACUCUGUAUUAUCAUGUGUACAAGUGACAGACGGAUCUCUGUUGACUGCUUUGAAGUAAAUUUUACUUUGAGGAAUGACAGUGGUCAAGAAAAUAUCUAAGUUGUGUGCCUCUCUGUCAUGCAGACCUUUUAAUAAAAUGUUAUAUAUGACAUUAAAUAAUUGCAAUCAAUUUUUUUAAAUUCUGGUAUUUCUAACUGUUUAUAACUUAUACAUAUAUUUUGAUAGUUUCUUUAUUGUAAUUGACAAUUAUAGCUUUAUAAUACAGUUGUGAGAGAUUUGUUUAAGGUUUUAUAAAUAGCCUCAUAGAUGGUUCUUACAAUUUACUCUUUAUACUUAAAAUUGUGUAAACAAUUAACAUAUUUAAAGUUUCAUGGAUAAAAAAUAUUUUUCAAGAUUCAAUAACAAAAUAUUACAUCUCAAAGUUAUAGAUAUCUUAAAGAAAUAUACAUUGUAUUUUAUUUCUUAUAUUUGUUGAAAUAACAUGUUCCUACUACAUAUUAUAAAAAUCUAAAACUUUGGUAAUGCCUUCUUAGUUUUCAAACAUCUCAAGCAGAAUUCUAUAUUCUGGAAAUAACUUUCUUAAAAUGUUUCAAUAUUCCAUUCAUACAUAUUAUAAGGAUGCCUUAAAGUAAUAAUUGUCACACUAGCAAGUUAAAACUUUGAAAUAAUUCUAUUGUUGUGAAAAUUGGAUAUUCCCCUCCUGUUAGUUGUAAAAAUUUCAAAAUGCUUAUUUCUUUUGCAAUAUGUAAGUGAUAUAGUGUACAGGUGUGUUAAUGAUGUUGCUCAAUUUCCAGUAAUAAUAAAAAAGCAUUUACUUACAUAUACCUAAGAUAUUUUACAUGUGGCAUCAAGUUCAGUAAAAUAAAUUGCCUGAAAACAAGUAUUAGUGAGGAGUAUUUUGUUUGUAUGUUUUAGAGCAAAGCCACAUUGGGCGACCUGCUCUGUCCACAAUGGGGGAUCAAACCCCGAAUUCUUGCAUUGUAAGUCUGUAAACUUACCACUGUACCGAUGGGAACAUUUAACAAUAAAUAGCUCAUGUUGUUCCACAACUAUCUUUCAUGAGUUAACUCAUUUUUCAUGUAAUACUAAACAAGUGUAAUUUCAGUACAAUGAAACUUAAUAGUAACUGAAUUAAUAAUUUGUUAAUAUGAGUAAUCAAUUUAUUACAUUUGUAAAAAUACUUUCUGAAUUGCAUUUUUUUGUAUAGGAAAUUUGUUUUUGUUGGGGGGGGGGGGAUAAAAUACCUGUUGCACUUACUUCAUUUGGCAUUCUGAUGGCUCAUUGGUAAGUCUGAGGGCUUUCAGUAUACCAGCGUGGGCAGAGAACAGAUAACCCAUUGUGUAACUUUAAGCUUAGCAACAAACAUACUUCAAUUGAAUUUCUUAUUAUAAGCAUGUUAUUUAUUUUUAAGAAACAUGCACUACAAUUAGCAGUUACUUUAUCCUAUACUCAGUAGUAUAUAUCAUAAGACUUGGGUAUUUUAGAUUUUACCAAUUAAUACUGUUUAAAUGUCACACCUGGGUGUGUACACUUUAUGCAUCUUGUGAUGGUUCAUUUUAUUGCAUUGCCAUAAAAAAACAACAAAAAACUAUAUUAACUUGUUGGAAACUUCAUAAGAACUUUAUACAGAUUAUGUAGCUUUUUACAAAUAAGAUAUCUUUUUUAUAUGUGGUAUUUGUAAGUUUAUGUAUUUGCAUCUUUGAAAUUAAAAAAAGAUAAAUAUUUCAUUGUGUUUUUUAAAAAACAAUUAAAAAUGCUUACCUUUGUUGUAUGUUACAAUUACUGAGUUUUACGUCUUCCUACCUUCCUUUAAAACUUUCCUCUAAAUUGUUUAUUUUAUAAAACUAACCUUGUAUUGUUUUGAUUAGAAAAAUACUGUAUUCAGUUUUACUGUUUACCUGAAAAAAGGUGGCAGUUAAAGCCAUGAUAAUGGUACUGACACAGAC